GCUUUCGGGUGUCGCUGAUGGAUGGACCCGCGGUGCAUUAGCUAGUUGGUGAGGUAACGGCUCACCAAGGCCACGAUGCAUAGCCGACCUGAGAGGGUGAUCGGCCACAUUGGGACUGAGACACGGCCCAAACUCCUACGGGAGGCAGCAGUAGGGAAUCUUCGGCAAUGGACGAAAGUCUGACCGAGCAACGCCGCGUGAGUGAAGAAGGUUUUCGGAUCGUAAAACUCUGUUGUUAGAGAAGAACAAGGAUGAGAGUAACUGUUCAUCCCUUGACGGUAUCUAACCAGAAAGCCACGGCUAACUACGUGCCAGCAGCCGCGGUAAUACGUAGGUGGCAAGCGUUGUCCGGAUUUAUUGGGCGUAAAGCGAGCGCAGGCGGUUUCUUAAGUCUGAUGUGAAAGCCCCCGGCUCAACCGGGGAGGGUCAUUGGAAACUGGGAGACUUGAGUGCAGAAGAGGAGAGUGGAAUUCCAUGUGUAGCGGUGAAAUGCGUAGAUAUAUGGAGGAACACCAGUGGCGAAGGCGGCUCUCUGGUCUGUAACUGACGCUGAGGCUCGAAAGCGUGGGGAGCAAACAGGAUUAGAUACCCUGGUAGUCCACGCCGUAAACGAUGAGUGCUAAGUGUUGGAGGGUUUCCGCCCUUCAGUGCUGCAGCUAACGCAUUAAGCACUCCGCCUGGGGAGUACGACCGCAAGGUUGAAACUCAAAGGAAUUGACGGGGGCCCGCACAAGCGGUGGAGCAUGUGGUUUAAUUCGAAGCAACGCGAAGAACCUUACCAGGUCUUGACAUCCUUUGACCACUCUAGAGAUAGAGCUUCCCCUUCGGGGGCAAAGUGACAGGUGGUGCAUGGUUGUCGUCAGCUCGUGUCGUGAGAUGUUGGGUUAAGUCCCGCAACGAGCGCAACCCUUAUUGUUAGUUGCCAUCAUUCAGUUGGGCACUCUAGCAAGACUGCCGGUGACAAACCGGAGGAAGGUGGGGAUGACGUCAAAUCAUCAUGCCCCUUAUGACCUGGGCUACACACGUGCUACAAUGGGAAGUACAACGAGUUGCGAAGUCGCGAGGCUAAGCUAAUCUCUUAAAGCUUCUCUCAGUUCGGAUUGCAGGCUGCAACUCGCCUGCAUGAAGCCGGAAUCGCUAGUAAUCGCGGAUCAGCACGCCGCGGUGAAUACGUUCCCGGGCCUUGUACACACCGCCCGUCACACCACGAGAGUUUGUAACACCCG
rnacentral:rRNA from 1 species